rnacentral:lncRNA from 1 species
AAAAUACCAAUAAAUAUAAAAAAUGUCAUAAAAUUGAGAUCAAUCCAGUAGCAAGACUGUCAAAAUAUAAUACAGACCAUAAUACUACUACUAUAUACUAAGAGACUAUUGUAUGUGUCUUACAACCUCUCAUCUGCCUCUUAUGCCUCGUCUACCUCCAUGACAUCAAUCAUCCUUGUCCUCCAACGAUGUCUCUGGUACACUAAUACCCCAUUAUGCCUCCGUCAUGAUGGCAUCUAGGACCUGCCUCACACCAGACCCAUCAGGGAAGAUACCCGUGUCAAUGCUUUCCUGUGCAAUCUUCAUUAUGCAAUGACACCUUGGCAAGACAUCAUCAGUAUGGUCUAGCUAUGUCUGUUCCUCCUUUAGUAUCUCCUGAUGAGCUGGUCUCGAUGGAUCUCCUAGAGCAAUAUGCACUAUCUACGAAUGUGACACCCUUAAGAAUCAUUUGAUGUACCCUUCGAGUAGCUCCAGUCGCUCUCAUCUAUGGUAGCUCGUGCCUCAUCUGGUACCAGAUGACUCUCAUA